rnacentral:rRNA from 1 species
GAUGAACGCUGGCGGCAUGCCUAAUACAUGCAAGUCGAACGAGAGGAAGGAAAGCUUGCUUUUCUGAAUCUAGUGGCGAACGGGUGAGUAACACGUAGGUAACCUGCCCAUGUGCCCGGGAUAACUUCUGGAAACGGAUGCUAAAACCGGAUAGGUAGCAGACAAGCAUUUGACUGCUAUUAAAGUGGCUAAGGCCAUGAACAUGGAUGGACCUGCGGUGCAUUAGCUAGUUGGUGAGGUAACGGCCCACCAAGGCGACGAUGCAUAGCCGGCCUGAGAGGGCGGACGGCCACAUUGGGACUGAGACACGGCCCAAACUCCUACGGGAGGCAGCAGUAGGGAAUUUUCGUCAAUGGGGGGAACCCUGAACGAGCAAUGCCGCGUGAGUGAAGAAGGUCUUCGGAUCGUAAAGCUCUGUUGUAAGAGAAAAACGACAUUCAUAGGGAAUGAUGAGUGAGUGAUGGUAUCUUACCAGA